AUACGUAGGUGACAAGCGUUAUCCGGAUUUACUGGGCGUAAAGGGCGUGUAGGCGGUCUUGCAAGUCAGAAGUGAAAUUCCUGAGCUCAACUCGGGCGCUGCUUCUGAAACUGCAGGACUUGAGUGCUGGAGGGGAUAGCGGAAUUCCUAGUGGAGCGGUAAAAUGCGCAGAUAUUAGGAAGAACACCGGUGGCGAAGGCGGAUUUGUGGAAAAGAACUGACGGUUAGGAGAGAAAGCGUGGGGAGCAAACAGGUUUAGAUCCCAUGGUAUUCCACGCCGUAAACGAUGAAUACUAGGUGUAGGGGGUAUCGACUCCCUCUGUGCCGCAGUUAACACAAUAAGUAUUCCGCCUGGGGAGUACGGCCGCAAGGUUGAAACUCAAAGGAAUGGGCGGGG
rnacentral:rRNA from 1 species